UUGUUGCUUGCGUGAUUCACUAGCUAGAAAGGGGUCAAACAGUGUGCUAUUCACAAUUGCUUUUGGAUUUAGCUGCUGUUUGGAUAAAUGAUUCAUUUACCAUACAUUAAUUAACAUAUUGUAGUUAUUUACAUAUGAAUUAAGUUAUUUACAUAUUGUAAGUGUUCAAUGAUCCCACGACGUUAACAGAGGAGGAGCUGUAUGAUUUGCGAGACCGCUGGACAACUUGUUUUCUUGACCUAUAUAAUCCCGAGGUAGAUUAUGAUGAUGCCGACGAGAAAGAUUAGGAGCUAGCUAGGUUUGUGUGAAGUUACAAUGGACUAGUUAUGAUUAUGUUUUAAUUUGUAUUUUGGAUGGAUUAGUAUUAAUUAUUAUGAUGUUUUGUAUUUGGAUUUCAAUGGUUGUACUUUAAUGACAUUAUUACUAUAUAUAUGUUG
rnacentral:lncRNA from 1 species